rnacentral:rRNA from 1 species
ACUCCUACGGGAGGCAGCAGUGGGGAAUAUUGCACAAUGGGCGAAAGCCUGAUGCAGCAACGCCGCGUGAGGGACGACGGCCUUCGGGUUGUAAACCUCUUUUAGUUGGGAAGAAGGGAGUGACGGUACCAGCAGAAAAAGCACCGGCUAACUACGUGCCAGCAGCCGCGGUAAUACGUAGGGUGCAAGCGUUGUCCGGAAUUAUUGGGCGUAAAGAGCUCGUAGGCGGUUUGUCGCGUCUGCUGUGAAAUCUGGGGGCUCAACCCCCAGCCUGCAGUGGGUACGGGCAGACUAGAGUGCGGUAGGGGAGAUUGGAAUUCCUGGUGUAGCGGUGGAAUGCGCAGAUAUCAGGAGGAACACCGAUGGCGAAGGCAGAUCUCUGGGCCGUAACUGACGCUGAGGAGCGAAAGCAUGGGGAGCGAACAGGAUUAGAUACCCUGGUAGUCCAUGCCGUAAACGUUGGGAACUAGAUGUAGGGGCCAUUCCACGGUUUCUGUGUCGCAGCUAACGCAUUAAGUUCCCCGCCUGGGGAGUACGGCCGCAAGGCUAAAACUCAAAGGAAUUGACGGGGGCCCGCACAAGCGGCGGAGCAUGCGGAUUAAUUCGAUGCAACGCGAAGAACCUUACCAAGGCUUGACAUAUACCGGAAACGUCCAGAGAUGGUCGCCCCGCAAGGUCGGUAUACAGGUGGUGCAUGGUUGUCGUCAGCUCGUGUCGUGAGAUGUUGGGUUAAGUCCCGCAACGAGCGCAACCCUCGUUCUAUGUUGCCAGCACGUUAUGGUGGGAACUCAUAGGAGACUGCCGGGGUCAACUCGGA